ensembl:lncRNA
CUCUUUUUAUCAGCAGACUGAGAGGAAAUAAGUGGAGUUGUGAAUCCAGCUACUUUCAUGGGAGAUGGACUCGAAGUUGAGAUAAGUCUUUUCCACUCGAACUAAUGGGACUGGAACAGCUAAUUCCCUUUCCUCUGUGAGGAUUUCAGAGCCUGAACAAACUCUCACUGACCCCAGGAGCAGUGUCUCCUCAGCCAUUCCAACCUUAGCAAUCAGAAGACAGAAAACAUCCAAAGACAGCAUGACAAUGAUAGGGAGACAUGGUGACAUGUUCAGUGUACCACAAGCAAAGAUCACCCUCUAGAGGUUUAAGGUGAUCUCAUAGGCUGCUUUCUAUUGCUGUGAUAAAGACCAUGACUAGAAACAGCUCAGGGAAGAAAGGGUUUAUUUGGUUUAUAGGUUAUAGACCAUUAUGAAGGAAAGUUGGGACAGGAAUCUAAAGGCAAGAACUGAAGCAGAGACCAUGGAGGAAUGUUCCUUAUUGGUUUGCUCCUCAUGGCUUGCUCAACAUGCUUUUCUUAUAGAACCCAGAAUCACCAGCACAGGGGUAGCCCUACCCACAAUGGGUUGGGCCCUCCCCCAUCAAUCACUAAUCCAAAAGAUACUCUACAGGCUUGCCUACAGCCAAAUCUUAUGGAGGCAUUUUCUUAAUUGGGGUUCCAUUUUCUAACAUGACCCUAGCUGAGUCAAGUCAAUAAAAAAAUAAAAAGCUAAGCAGCACAGUUGAGAUAGAGAAAUAGCUCAGGUUGAUAGUGUUCGCCUUGUAAGUAUGGGGAUCUGAGCUUAGGUAACCAGGAUCCACAUAAAAAAAAAAAAAAGCUGAGUGUGAUUGUGUAAGCCUGGAAAUCCCAGAGAUGGCAGGAAAUUAAGAUAGGCAGAUUCCUGGAAGCUUGCUGUCCUGCUAGCCUGCUUGGCAAAGUUCUAGGCCAGUGAGAGACCCUGAGUCAAAGAAAAUAAGAAAAGCACCAAAGGACUGACACUUGAGGUCUUCCUCUGACCUCCACAUGAGGGUCAUGCACACUUGAACACACAUGUGUACUCAUGAGCGUGUACCCCAAAAGUACACCAUGCAUGCACAUGGUGCUUUCAUAGGAAAGCCAGCUUAAUGUUAUCUUCCCAAGUGUCUUCACCUAGAACCCUCUCUGUGUGACAUCUGUAAACACCCAGGGUCCUGCAGAAUCUAGAAAAAGAAACAGUGAGAUAGAGACCAUCCGAUUCUCUAAGCCCCAAGCACCACCCACAAUUGCACCCUUUCUAGGGCCUAAGGAGCCAGCUGCUAUGCCCUGGCCUCUUCUUCCUUUGCUGUCAACACUAGCUGUUACUUCACCUACUUUGGCAGUCCAAAUAAUAUGCUCAGGUAUAGGUGAGGUGGCACAGGGGGUCCCUGGAGGGCAAGGCAUGAUUGCUGUCUUUGACCAGUCAGAGGCCACUGUUCCCUGUCUCUAGAAACUUAUUUGACUAACUCAGCACAGGAUGUCCCUGGAGGGCAAGGCAUGAUUGCUGUCUUUGCCCAGUAAGAGGCCACUACUCUCUGUCUCUAGAAACUUCUUUGACUAACUCAGCACAGGGCAUCCCUGGAGGGCAAGGCAUGAUUGCUGUCUUUGCCCAGUAAGAGGCCACUACUCUCUGUCUCUAGAAACUUCUUUGACUAACUCUCAAAGCCACAGGCUCAGCUGGAGUUAGAAUCAAGAAAAAUGAAAGGCAAUAUGUAUUAAAAUUCAAACUUGGAAAUCCUGGUAACCGGGAGACAUGGCAACAGAUGGACCCGUGUCUCAGAGUGACAGUGAGCUGCUGUCUAGUGCAGGGACUCCCAGGUGGAUGGACUGUGUGCCAUGGGCCCCAGCUGUCCUCGUCUGGGAUGCAGACACCCUGCCUUCCUGUGCCUUUGGCUGCCGUUUCAGCCAUCACAAGCAGUUGACAGCUUGUCGGCACUCUGACACCCUUGAGAACCUUGCUGCUCUGGUCCUGCAGGUGGGGAGGUCUAAAACUCCUUUGGAGCUGCUUUACAGGUCAAAUGCUGGAAUUUCAAUGUCAGACUAUGUGACCAGCCCAACAGAGAGCUUGCUUUAGAUUCUGGUGAGUUAAUCUGUGUGUGUGUGUGUGUGUGUGUGUGUGUGUGUGUGUGUGUGAGAGAGAGAGAGAGAGAGAGAGAGAGAGAGGAGAAAGUGUGUGUGUGUGUGUGUGUGUGUGUGUGUGUGUGUAUCUGAGAAAGAGAAAGAGAGGAGAGAGAGUUUUGUAUUUGGGUAUGCGUGUGUGUGUGUGUGUGUGUGUGUGUGUGUGAGAGAGAGAGAGAGAGAGAGAGAGAGAGAGAGAGAGGAGAAAGUGUGUGUGUGUGUGUGUGUGUGUGUGUGUGUGUGUAUCUGAGAAAGAGAAAGAGAGGAGAGAGAGUUUUGUAUUUAGGUAUGCGUGUGUGUGUGUGUGUGUGUGUGUGUGUGUGAGAGAGAGAGAGAGAGAGAGAGAGAGAGAGGAGAAAGUGUGUGUGUGUGUGUGUGUGUGUGUGUGUGUGUAUCAGAAAGAGAAAGAGAGGAGAGAGAGUUUUGUAUUUGGGUAUGCGUGUGUGUGUAUGUGUGUGUGUGUGUGUGUGUGUGUGUGUGUGUGUGUAGGCUAGACAUUAACCUUGGUUACUGUUCAGGAGCCAUCCACCCUGCACUGGCCUGGGGCUCCCUAUUUUCCUUGGUUGUAUGGUCCAGAAUCUCAGUAAUCUGCCUAUCUCUACACUCUGAAAACUGGGAUUCUAAGUGCACACUACCACACCCAGCUUUUCUUCCUGGGGAUCAGACUCCAUUCUUCUCCCUGAUGCCCAGUGAUACUAUCACCAUUCAACAAGGACAAGUCAUGCUUAGGACACAAUGGAG